rnacentral:rRNA from 1 species
UACGGGAGGCAGCAGUGAGGAAUCUUGCACAAUGGGGGAAACCCUGAUGCAGCGACACCGCGUGCGGGAUGAAGGCCUUCGGGUCGUAAACCGCUUUUCUGAGGGACGAGAAGGACGGUACCUCAGGAAUAAGUCCCGGCUAACUACGUGCCAGCAGCCGCGGUAAAACGUAGGGGGCGAGCGUUAUCCGGAAUUACUGGGCGUAAAGGGCGUCUAGGCGGCCCCAUAAGUCUCGCGUGAAAGCUCCCGGCUCAACUGGGAGAGGGCGCCGGAAACUAUUGGGCUAGAGACUCGGAGGGGGGUGCGGAAUUCCCGGUGGAGUGGUGAAAUGCGUUGAGAUCGGGAGGAACACCAGUAGCGAAGGCGGCACCCUGGCCGAGGUCUGACGCUGAAGCGCGAUAGCGUGGGGAGCGAACGGGAUUAGAUACCCCGGUAGUCCACGCCGUAAACGAUGACAACUAGGUGUCGGGCACCUAAGGGUGUUCGGUAUCGCAGCCAACGCGAUAAGUUGUCCGCCUGGGGAGUACGGCCGCAAG